CCCUUAGAUGUCCUGGGCCGCACGCGCGCUACACUGACAUGUUCAACAAGCCUCCUAGUUCGACAGGAUUUGGGAAAUCUUUGAACGCAUGUCGUGAUAGGGAUAGAUCAUUGCAAUUAUUGAUCUUGAACGAGGAAUUCCUAGUAAACGCGAGUCAUCAGCUCGCAUUGAUUACGCCCCUGCCCUUUGUACACACCGCCCGUCGCACCUACCGAUUGAAUGUUUCGGUGAAGAUUCCGGAUAGGACUUUUUUGAUUUAUUUCAAUUUUGUCUUAAAAGCUAUCUAAACCUCAACAUUUAGAGGAAGGUGAAGUCGUAACA
rnacentral:rRNA from 1 species